AAGAAUAUAUUAUAAUCUAUAUUUUCUCAGAACCAGAGAAGAAAAGGUAGGAGAAUAAUUCUUAAUAGCAGGUCAACUUCUUCUCUGUCAAAGAACUCACAUGAUGGUGAUUUCCAGUGGACAGAGAAUUAAACAGGACCCAGGUGUCCAAGUGAAGCUCUGCAGGUAGAACCCCAGUGCCGAAGUCCACAUGGACACGGAGCCACCUAGCACUGGCAGCCGCCCAUUCUCUGGCAGGAAAUGAAGGAGAGAAGACCAAAGGCAAGACUUCUUCCAGAGACUCCAGCAAGCCACUGUACCAACUAUGCCUUAUUCAAAUGGUGUGCAGUAUAUUCUUCAUUAUAAUAAAAGGUCUACCCAUACAAUCACCCAGAGAGGACUAGGAUGUUAAAAAAAACUGCGUUCUUCAGAAGGGCAUAGGCCAGGAUCAAAUGCCACCUCUGCCUGGAGAAAAACUUGGAAAGCAUCUGAGAACAGGGCCAAGAAGAGGAUUGUCUUGCUGAAUGCUAAUACUCAUCAGCCUAAGUUGGAAUUUGCUUAAGCACUGAGAGUGCUGGAAGCCAGGAAGCAGUGUGAAGAUGCUGACAGUCUGGGAUUUCUGUUCCUGGGAAAAUGAACUCUUGCCGAAAGAGCAGUGGGUGGGUCCCACAGACCCUGCUCGGAGCUAUUUUUAGAGCAUUUGUCCCUGACUCCCACCUAGUGGCUUCUUCCAGCACUGCACAGGGACAAAGAACCACCACUGAUGCCACCUGAGCCCGGCCCAGGAGCCCCUUGGGAGCUGAGCGCAGAAAGAAAGCACGGACACACCUACUCCUUUCUCAUCUCUCACUCAAGUUCACACCUGUCACAGGGGAGCAGCCCAUUCUUCUGAUGGACCACAGAUGCUCCAGUGCCAGAAGAUCUGCAGUCCCAGAUGAGCAGCAGCAGUACAAGAUACAUUUCCCACUAUGUAAUCCCUCCCCUCUGCUAACAGUUGAUUCACUCUGGGGUAGACACUGGACCUAAGGUGUGCAUCCAUAGCUUGUGAAUAAAUUAAAAGUCUUUAAUGUCUAUUUCUUUUACACUUAACGCUUCUUCAUUGAUCUGGAGGACUUCGCUCAAAAAUAAUUAACUGGGUCAAUCAGAUCCUUUUCCUUAGAAACUUGAGUUUAAAAAGAAAACAUAUUGAGAAAACAUGGAAAGAAUUUGUCAGCCAACAAGAGUAAACUCAAACCUAACAGAAGUCUGUGGCAGUCACUCUGAGCUGUCUUCCUGAGGGCCACUUUCCCCCACUCUAUCAUCAUUCUUUUCUGACAGAGGCCACCUCCCUCUAUGGCAGGUGGAAGUGCCAAUACUUGCUUUCCCAGCCUCCCUUGCAGCUAGGGUAUGCACAGGUGAACAAAUUCUGGCCACUGCAGCUAAAUGGGAAGUCUGCUAGGGGGUUGCAGAGAGUUUCCCUCCUGAUUAAAAACAACAAAAACAUACUAAAGAAAUGAUUCUCUACCUCUGCACACAGUUGUAUAGUUGUGUCUUGUAAGGACAUGUUGCCUGCAGUUCUAGUGGCCAUCUUGCAACUGUUAUGGGAUGUGCCUGAGCAAAAACCACCCCUUGAGGAUGGCAAAGAAAAAAGAUGGGAAGAACCAGUACCCAUGAGGUCACUCAGAGCCACUUAUUUAACCCUGGGACUGUCUGUCUUCUGGACAUCUUGUUAGUGGUCUAUCUUGUUAUUGUUUACAUCAUUUUACUGGAAAAAGUAUCCCAACUGAUAUAGGUGUCACGAGGCAGAGUUGGACCAUGUCAGGCCAGUGUCAUGGCCAAGCAGGAAUUCUAGGUGUGAACAAUGCCAAUGUGUCUACAGAGGAGAAGGGAGCAAAUAUGCAAGGGAUGCACAGACAUCAUGCAUGAGAAGGCGCUGGGCAGUGCUGCCUAAUCCUUCAAACCAUCUUACUAGUUCCAACUCCAAUCCUAACCCACAUGGGACUUUAAAAAAAUAAUUCAACUGAGUCUCCAGGGUUGAACGCAGCGCUUCUUAAACUUUAAUGUGCUUACGAGUCACCUGGAGAUGGUUCAGCAAGUGUGAGAUGGGAGCCCAUAGUCUGCAUUUUUCACAAGCUACGAGGGGAUAAGAAAGCUGCUGAGCCACAGACCAAAAUUUGAGCAGCAACAACUUCUAACUAAAAGUGUCAAUCUAAAGCACUUGAUGAGUUUGCUCACCAGUCUGAAUUCUAUUCCCAUACAGAUUAAGACCUUGUGUGGAAUGUGGAUGUGCUGAUCAUAAAAUGACUUUAGGUCUGCAAGAUCUAAAACACAGACAGGCUAUCUCUGUCCAGAAUAAAAACCUUAACAUGCAGCCCUUACAACUUGGAAUGUUUAUAUGAACUUCUGACCCCCUAAAAGUACUUGCUUCGCCAUGCAUAGGUUAGUGAUGGCCAUAAUUACUCUAGAAGAUUUAUGAAUGCAAUCACUUUUAGGGAAAUCUCUUCAAAGGAAGGCAUUCCCUAAACCAUUGUAAAUAACCCCAAGACAAAACUGCAAAUCUGAAUGCAAGCUGUUUUCUACCAAUGCAUCUUGAAAAAACCAACAACAAUGUCAACUGCCUUUGGAUCAAAAAUAUUUUUAAUAAAUUUCCAAAAACUGUUUUAAAAGUUAGAUUCAUUGUUUAUACCAAAUGCUAAAAAAUAUUGUUGAUGGAUUGGAGUUAACCAUAAAAUAAAAAUCAAACCAUAAACUUACUAGAGGAAGAUACAGGUGAACAGUUAUCUGUUCUGAGGUUGGGAAAGGCGUUGCUAGGGCCAAAAGGAAAACAAGAAACCAAAAUAGGAAAGACUGAUAGAGUCAAGUACAGUUGUUUAAAAUUCUGUGUCUCAGAAAGCACCUAAACGUUAUUUAAAAACAGAGUGAGGAAAAUAUAUGCUACAAAUAAAGCAAACGGCUAAUAAAAGGUCAUUCAAAUAGAUAAGAAAAACACUAAAAUCCUAAUAGAAAACAACAGCAUAGACUACGAAUAGACUAGAGUGGGAGAGGUGCAUCCAAGAGGCUCAAGGUGAUUUCUGGGUGUACAGGGAAAAAUAUGGGAACUAUUUUUUAACCUAUCCUUUAAAACUCUAUUUUGGUGAACAGUGGAUACCCUAAAUACCCUGACUGACUUGAUCACUAUGUGUUAUAUACAUGUAAGGAAAUUUCACAUGUACCCCAC
rnacentral:lncRNA from 10 species